CCCUUAGAUGUCCUGGGCCGCACGCGUGCUACACUGACACUUACACCGAGUUUUUCCGGCCCCGAGAGGUGGCUGGUAAUCAGUAAUAGGUGUCGUGAUGGGGAUAGAUCUUUGGAAUUAUUGAUCUUGAACGAGGAAUGCCUAGUAAUCGUAGGUCAUCAGCCUGCGAUGAUUACGUCCCUGCCCUUUGUACACACCGCCCGUCGCUCCUACCGAUCGAAGAGUUAGGUGAAUUGUUUUGAUCGAUAAGAUUUGACUAUGGUCAACUCUCGUUGUGAAAUUCUGUGAAUCUGACUGUUUAGAGGAAGGAAAAGUCGUAACA
rnacentral:rRNA from 1 species